rnacentral:lncRNA from 1 species
GGGAGUGAGCCUGCAAGAGUGUAGGCAGGGAAGAUGGCUGUCCUCGCGCCUCUGAUUGCCUUGGUGUACUCGGUGCCGCGGCUUUCUCGAUGGCUGGCCAGACCUUAUUGCCUUCUGUCUGCCCUGCUUUCCAUUGCUUUCCUCCUCGUGAGGAAGCUGCCGCCGAUUUGCAACGGUCUCCCCACGCAGCGCGAAGAUGGCAACCCGUGUGACUUUGACUGGGUGAGCGCCCCCUGCCUUAGUAGCUGUCGACCUUGACCAUCCAUCCCUGCCCUGCAGGUGCAUGUGAAGAUGGGAGGGCGGGUUUCGAGUGUAGCUUACACACUUGAGUGGAGAGCCUAGGCCGUUAUCUAGUCCUUACCUUCGUGUUAAAGAUGGAGAAACAGAUUCCAGGGUUUCCAUCACAGAUGAACAAUAUUCUUCUGUGAUUCCAAGUUCCUUGGGGCGCCACUGACGAAGACUAGGCCCGUGGUAGAAAUACCAUUUAAAUUUUUCUAAUUUUUAACGAAGUGAUCACAGUGUAGUUAGGCGAUUUUUCAAGGUAACACAGCGUUCACUAAGUGCUGUCUAACCUUAAUCAAUUCUCUGAUAGACCGGCAGACAUAGGUCACUGACU